rnacentral:lncRNA from 1 species
UGAGAGAAAGAGGUCAGCCUUCGGUAGGCAUGGGUUAUCCUCAACAGGCAUCGUUAACUGGCAGAUUCUCCAGUCAUGUACAUAAUGUGUUGGUGCCGUCUACUGUGAAUGCAGCAAUUAAUAACGUGACAGCACCACAAGACCUGAACUAUAAUUCAUUUGAUGCCAGAGAAAGAGUUCAGAUGUCUUCUGGCAUGGUUUAUCCUCAACAGCCAUUGUCAACUGGCAGAUUCUCUGAUCAUGUACAUAAUGUGCUGGUGCCGUCUACUGUGAAUGCAGCAUUUACUAAUGUGACAGCACCACAAGACCUGAACUAUAAUUCAUUUGAUGCGAGAGAAAGAGUUCAGUUGUCUUUUGGCAUGGUUGAUCCUCAACAGGCAUUGUUUACUGGUAGACUCGGAGAAUCUGCUGCAUUCAAUUACUUUGUGGGGAAACUUGGCAAGCCUUUUGUGAAAUGGGUUAAU